rnacentral:rRNA from 1 species
UAUGCAAGUCGAACGGAAAGGCCUUCGGGGUACUCGAGUGGCGAACGGGUGAGUAACACGUGGGUGAUCUGCCCUGCACUUUGGGAUAAGCCUGGGAAACUGGGUCUAAUACCGAAUAGGACCACGCGCUUCAUGGUGUGUGGUGGAAAGCUUUUGCGGUGUGGGAUGGGCCCGCGGCCUAUCAGCUUGUUGGUGGGGUAAUGGCCUACCAAGGCGACGACGGGUAGCCGGCCUGAGAGGGUGACCGGCCACACUGGGACUGAGAUACGGCCCAGACUCCUACGGGAGGCAGCAGUGGGGAAUAUUGCACAAUGGGCGCAAGCCUGAUGCAGCGACGCCGCGUGAGGGAUGACGGCCUUCGGGUUGUAAACCUCUUUCAAUAGGGACGAAGCGCAAGUGACGGUACCUAUAGAAGAAGCACCGGCCAACUACGUGCCAGCAGCCGCGGUAAUACGUAGGGUGCGAGCGUUGUCCGGAAUUACUGGGCGUAAAGAGCUCGUAGGUGGUUUGUCGCGUUGUUCGUGAAAACUCACAGCUUAACUGUGGGCGUGCGGGCGAUACGGGCAGACUAGAGUACUGCAGGGGAGACUGGAAUUCCUGGUGUAGCGGUGGAAUGCGCAGAUAUCAGGAGGAACACCGGUGGCGAAGGCGGGUCUCUGGGCAGUAACUGACGCUGAGGAGCGAAAGCGUGGGGAGCGAACAGGAUUAGAUACCCUGGUAGUCCACGCCGUAAACGGUGGGUACUAGGUGUGGGUUCCUUCCUUGGGAUCCGUGCCGUAGCUAACGCAUUAAGUACCCCGCCUGGGGAGUACGGCCGCAAGGCUAAAACUCAAAGGAAUUGACGGGGGCCCGCACAAGCGGCGGACAUGUGGAUUAAUUCAUGCAACGCGAAGAACCUUACCUGGGUUUGACUGCACGGACGCCGCAAAGUCGGUUCCCUUGGGCCGG